UGCAGUUUAAUGCAUCCUUGCUCAAUAGAAGUAUUGAUUUGUUUAAAAUCUUACUGACUCACAAAUAACAGAACUGUAGUGUAUAUCCAAAAUAUAUUCAAAAAUAUAAUUUUAGGUUAUUAAAUAAAUAACAACACAUUAGGUUGCAGCACAAAAUUAAUUUCAAAGGUCAGAUCAGAUAGCUAAUGUAACUGCCUGCUGUAUCUUUUUUAAGCCUAACUGCUCUACAUUUUAAUACAUACAUUUACAUGGGUAACACUAACAUGAGCUGGUCACACAGACCAGUAAACACAGAAGUGAGCAGCUGUUUCAACAGGAACAUUGUGACCACUUCAGCGGUACUUACAUUUCCUGCUCUUGCCUUGAAACCUGAUUUUGACCUGGUUACCGUGUACAGUGGCCAUCGAUCUUCAUCAUCUGAGAUGUUCAUCACUGCAACAUCAAAACAUGUCAGGUAGGAUUUAAGUGGAUAACUAAAAGUACAUGAUUAUAAUAAAAAUAUAUAAUUCACAAUAAAUGCAAUAGGGGUAAUCACAAAGAAUGUUGUAUAUCACAUAUGUCAUAAAUCAAUUUGUUUAUGCUCUGCAUAUGUCUUGUAAACAUUUACGAGAAAAUUCAGUGAAUUGGAAUGAGCAGUUCUCUGCUUCUGCUCUAUGUGAUGACUGUGGAUUCACUGCAAAAAAUGUCACAUAUUACUGGAAACUUUACCUGGUUAAUGCCUCAAGCUGUACCAGGAAUUCCGUUCUGCAGCAGUAUGGAUCUCGGUUUACCCUCUAAAAUGGAGGAGAGCUUACAUUUCUCCCAACCUGCUGUGACACCCUACACUCCAGCCAAUUUUACUUAGCCUACCAUUCCAGAAUCUCCAGCUCCUUAUCUUUUAUCUGAUAAUAUUUACCUUACAGCCACAGUUACACAAGAUACAAAAAAACACCAUAAUAUUAGUGUACACACUCUAAUUGAAAGUCCCAGCACAAACACGUACCACCAUGCAGCAUUACGGACUAUUGCAUCUUCACACUCACCCUUCCUUCCAUCCUUCCACGGGGAAUCAGUGGGAGUAUCAGGGGUCUUUACCAGCCCCAGAUAGGGUGUCAUUGACUGAUAUGACCUCAGGUAAGAUACUGUGGUGAGGGUGACAGUAAUCAUGUCUUAAAGUCAAAAUCAUGUGAAUUAAUGAAUUAUGUAAAAGAUUUAAAACUUGAAUAAGAUUACCU
ensembl:lncRNA